rnacentral:rRNA from 1 species
GAUGAACGCUGGCGGCGUGCCUAAUACAUGUAAGUCGAGCGAACAGACGAGGAGCUUGCUCCUCUGACGUUAGCGGCGGACGGGUGAGUAACACGUGGAUAACCUACCUAUAAGACUGGGAUAACUUCGGGAAACCGGAGCUAAUACCGGAUAAUAUAUUGAACCGCAUGGUUCAAUAGUGAAAGACGGUUUUGCUGUCACUUAUAGAUGGAUCCGCGCCGCAUUAGCUAGUUGGUAAGGUAACGGCUUACCAAGGCAACGAUGCGUAGCCGACCUGAGAGGGUGAUCGGCCACACUGGAGCGGAGACACGGUCCAGACUCCUACGGGAGGCAGCAGUAGGGAAUCUUCCGCAAUGGGCGAAAGCCUGACGGAGCAACGCCGCGUGAGUGAUGAAGGUCUUCGGAUCGUAAAACUCUGUUAUUAGGGAAGAACAAAUGUGUAAGUAACUAUGCACGUCUUGACGGUACCUAAUCAGAAAGCCACGGCUAACUACGUG